GACGAACGCUGGCGGCGUGCUUAACACGUGCAAGUCGAACGCUGAAGCUCAGCUUUUGUUGGGUGGAUGAGUGGCGAACGGGUGAGUAACACGUGAGUAACCUGCCUCCUUCUUUGGGAUAACGCCCGGAAACGGGUGCUAAUACUGGAUAUUCACUGGUCUUCGCAUGGGGGUUGGUGGAAAGGGUUUUUCUGGUGGGGGAUGGGCUCGCGGCCUAUCAGCUUGUUGGUGGGGUGAUGGCCUACCAAGGCUUUGACGGGUAGCCGGCCUGAGAGGGUGACCGGUCACAUUGGGACUGAGAUAGGGCCCAGACUCCUACGGGAGGCAGCAGGGGGGAAUAUUGCACAAUGGGCGCAAGCCUGAUGCAGCGACGCCGCGUGAGGGAUGGAGGCCUUCGGGUUGUGAACCUCUUUCGCUCAUGGUCAAGCCGCAACAAUGGUUGUGGUGAGGGUAGUGGGUAAAGAAGCGCCGGCUAACUACGUG
rnacentral:rRNA from 1 species